rnacentral:misc_RNA from 1 species
GAUGAAGAACGCAGCGAAAUGCGAUAAGUAAUGUGAAUUGCAGAAUUCAGUGAAUCAUCGAAUCUUUGAACGCACCUUGCGCUCCUUGGUAUUCCGAGGAGCAUGCCUGUUUGAGUGUCAUUAAAUUCUCAACCUUUAUCUUUUAUUGAUAAAUGGCUUGGACUUGGGGGUUUGCUGGCGAAAGUCAGCUCCUCUGAAAUGUAUUAGCUGGUUGCCUUGUGUGAACUUGUCUAUUGGUGUGAUAAUUAUCUACGCCGUGGGCUGUUUGCCGUUUUAGCACUGCUUCUAACUGUCUGUUAACUUGGACAAUAUAUGACAAUUUGACCUCAAAUCAGGUAGGACUACCCGCUGAACUUAAGCAUAUCAAUAAGCGGAGGA